rnacentral:rRNA from 1 species
CACGUAGGGCGCAAGCGUUUGUCCGGAAUUAUUGGGCGUAAAGAGCUCGUAGGUGGUCUGUUGCGUCCGCUGUGAAAACUCGGGGCUUAACCCCGAGCCUGCAGUGGAUACGGGCAGACUAGAGGUAGGUAGGGGAGAAUGGAAUUCCUGGUGUAGCGGUGAAAUGCGCAGAUAUCAGGAGGAACACCGGUGGCGAAGGCGGGUCUCUGGGCCGAUACUGACGCUGAGGAGCGAAAGCGUGGGGAGCGAACAGG